UUCAAUAUACGUCCGCUUCCGGUGUCCCCCCGUUUUAUUCUUCCGUCUAAUUGUUUGAAUACUUAGACGGUCUCGAUGACGUUCUGCUGCACGGAUUGUAUUUACACGUUUUUAAAAAUAUCCACGUUGUUAACGUGACAAAUAUAAUAUGAUUGUGAACAUGUGUACUUUAAACAUUACCACAGGUGUCCACGCGGUGGCAGCAUUGCUGUGCUGUGCUGAUAAAAUGUCGAUUGAAACAAAAUGGAAGUAUGUUCAAUGUUGUUACAUAACGGCCAAUCUGGAUGUGAAUGCGUCGCUCAGCUGUGUAGCUGGUCACAAUCGCUUGCCGCCUCCUGUGUGUCCCUAAGCGUCUGAGAUUGUGGUCCUCCAUCACAGCAAAGGUGUUCACUGGGGCAGGACGCUAAGGACGUUGGUGAUGGUCCACUUUUGCCCGCUGCAGUCUCGAACGGCCAGCUGGGAACUCACCUGCAACUCUGGCUGACCGCUUUCCACCAUCUCCAGACAACGCCGGGACUCGGCGUUGUGGAUGGAGCCAUCCUGGGACAGAGGGAGAGACGCGGAAGGAGUGAGCGCCGAUAUGAGAAUGCCACAUCACCGUAACAAACAGUCGUGCGACAUCUCCGCAUAGCCGGAUGCCGUUUGACGCCCCUGCGCAACCUUAAGCUCCCUUGUUCCAUUGAAGGAUCAUGAUGGUGGAAAACCUCUCAGGUGGGAUCUCCUUGUCACGCCAGUAACGUUGGAAGCCAUCAGGACCGUCGAGGGAGAAGAAAACUUUCAAUGUCCCAUUUUUGGUGCUCUCCUGCAAAUUUCAAACCUUGAAGGAGACCAGAGCCUUUUUCAUUUUAUUUUUUUCUUUAAUAUUUCAAGUCUGAGCCACUAAAAAUGCCAUUAUUAUGCUACUAAAAUGACAUUGUUUCUCUCUUAAUAUUAAACGUUAUUCAGUACAACUUUUUUCUGCUAAUAUUUUGACGUUAUUCUUGGAAAAUCGCCCAUUUUUGCUGUUUUUUUUUCUCCAUUUUCCAAAAUAUUUCUACUUUUUACAGUAAUUUUCCUAACUUUUUCUUUAGUAAUAUUUUGACUUUAUUUUUUUUUUAUUUUGACAAAUUUGACUCCCCCCCCAAAAUCUCCUAAAAUGAUGAUUUUAACCAAAACAUUUUUGUUAACAUUUUUUGUUUUGUUUGAAAAUACAGCUGUUUUUUUUUUUUUUUUAAUUCCAGCUAAUUCAACUUUAUUCUUUUUUUUCUCUUAAUAUUUUGACUUUAUUCUUGUAAAAUGACUGCUCUUUUUCCCCCAUUUUUGCUGUUGCUGUUUUUUCUUCAUUUUCCAAAAUAUUUCUACUUUUUAAAGUAAUUUUUGUAAAUUUUUCUUUUGUAAUAUUUUGACUUUUUUUAUUUUCUUUUUUAUUUUAUUUUGACAAAAAUCAUGACUUUAGCAAAAACAUUUUUUUGUUAACAUUAUUUUUCCUGAUAAUAUUACAAGUUUAUUCAUGUAAAAUUGUGCCAUUUUUCAAUUAAUAUUUUGAAUUUUCUCAUGAAAAUAAAGCUGUUUUUUUUUUAAAUUUUUGCUGCUUUAAAAAAAAUAUUUUUCAACUAUUUCAACUUUAUUUUUGUAAAAGGACUGCUCUUUUCCCCCCAAUUUUGCUGUUGCUGUUUUUUCUUCAUGUUCCAAAUAUUUCUACUUUUUAAAGUGAAUUUUGUACAUUUUGCUUUUGUAAUAUUUUGACUUCAUUUGCCUCACAAUAUAACUUUUUACUCAUCCUAAUUUGAACAAAUUAUUUGUGUUGUUUCUCCUAAUAUUAUGACUUUAACAAAAAAAAUGUCUUUAAUAUUACAACUUUAUGCUACUAAAAUGACAUUAUUUUUCCUCGUAAUGUUGCAACGCUAUUGUCACAAGUUUCAUGCAUUUUCCUUUUGUAAUAUUUUGACUUUAUUUGCAUAAUAUUAUAACUUUUUAUCCCAUUCAUUCCUUAUAACUUUAUUUUUAGCCCAUCCUAACUUUACCCCAAAAAUGCUGCUUUCCCAUGCCUCAACACACCUUUGGAGGCUCAUUCUUCUUAAAGGCUCCCUGACGUGAUUCAUCAACUUGGCUUAAAUAUGUCAUAUAUUGCUUGUAAUUAUGUUCUACAUUGUUGGAUUUUUGAAAGCGAAUAGUAAAUUUGCAAAAAUGACAUUUAUAGUUGACGGCGCCAGCUAGCUCUCACUGUUCAGUCUCAUUUCCCGAAGCGACGUCAUCGCUCAGGUAAACAAACGUGGCGGUGUACGAGACGGAGGAUGUUUACAAAUAAGUGCGUCAUCAAAAUCUGCUGAUGGUAAAAAAUGCCAUGAGAUACGAUAGAAAUAGAAAAGUUGGGAGUGGCACAGUCAAACCUGGGUUCUCCUUCACCCCACAUUUGUUUUUUGUCCAAGAAUUUUGCUCGGAUUUGGCCUUGGUUUGUGUACAGUAUUGCACAAUGCGCUGUAUGGUUGCCAAAGACGGCACGCGACGCGUUGCUGACUCAUUGUCAGUGCAUUUUCUGGCAUUUGAGUCUGGCUGGUAAACAACCCGCCAUGGGGCCAAAGACAGUUACGAGUGCCAGCAAUUUGAUAACUUCACUCUUUGCUCCCCCCCCCCCAAAAAAAUAAUACAAUAACUUUCUUCAGAAAUAAUAAUAAUAAAAAUAGGUCCCAACCUAAUUUCCCAAA